rnacentral:lncRNA from 1 species
AGCGACCUCUUCCUGAUCGGGAGCUGUUUAAAAGGAGGGAGUGCGCCGUAUUUUCUACUAGCGUGGAGGAACGGAGGAAGAAUCCAUUCACACUCCCCAAACCAGGGAUGUCAUGGUCUAGAACACCUAUGCUGAAGUACAAGGCUGAGCAAGAAAGAUCACUCCACUGCAACUGAGCAAAGUGCUGAAGGAGUUGAAAGGAAGAAGAGAACAUUGGACGUGGUUUCACGGAGGAGGAAGCAUUUUAAUUUAUUCAGAAAGAGUGAAAAGGAUUUUGAAAGCAAAUAAGGCUAGCCACUUUUGAAACAUGUCAAAGAGCCCCAGCUUAUUUACGACAAGUAGGUUGUGACAGUUGGAAGUGUCAUGUACAACAUGCGGCGAUUAAGUCUUUCACCCACCUUUUCAAUGGGAUUUCAUCUGUUAGUUACUGUGAGUCUCUUAUUUUCCCAUGUGGACCAUGUAAUUGCUGAGACAGAAAUGGAAGGAGAAGGAAAUGAAACUGGUGAAUGUACUGGAUCAUAUUACUGUAAGAAAGGGGUGAUUUUGCCCAUUUGGGAACCCCAAGACCCUUCUUUUGGGGACA